rnacentral:rRNA from 1 species
GCAGCCGCGGUAAUUCCAGCUCCAAUAGCGUAUACUAAAGUUGUUGCGGUUAAAAAGCUCGUAGUUGGAUCUUGGAAUGUGUUCAAGCGGGUCAGCUUCUGGCUGUGCGCUGCUUGACGUGUUCUUCUAUUUGGUUUUGGUGCGGUGCGCUUAACUGCGUGUCGCUCCCGGCCGAAACGUUUACCUUGAAAAAAUUAGAGUGUUCAAAGCAGACCUGUUUGAGUCUGAAUAUUCGUGCAUGGAAUAAUGAAAUAUGAAUUCGGUUCUAUUUCGUUGGUUUUCGGAACUCGAGUUAAUGAUCAAGAGGGACAGACGGGGGCAUUCGUACUCUGCCGUUAGAGGUGAAAUUCUUGGAUCGGCGGAAGACGCGCAACUGCGAAAGCAUUUGCCAAGAAUGUUUUCUUUAAUCAAGAACGAUAGUCGGAGGUUCGAAGACGAUCAGAUACCGUCCUAGUUUCGACUGUAAACUAUGCCAGCUAACGAUCAGACAGAGUUCUCUACGACUUGUCUGGCAGUUUCCGGGAAACCAAAGCGUUUGGGUUCCGGGGGAAGUAUGGUUGCAAAGCUGAAACUUAAAGGAAUUGACGGAAGGGCACCACCAGGAGUGGAGCCUGCGGCUUAAUUUGACUCAACACGGGGAAACUCACCCGGCCCGGACACAGUGAGGAUUGACAGAUUGAGAGUUCUUUCUUGAUUCUGUGGGUGGUGGUGCAUGGCCGUUCUUAGUUGGUGGAGCGAUUUGUCUGGUUAAUUCCGAUAACGAACGAGACUCUGGCAUGUUAAAUAGUCGCGGAAGUGCGUAUGCACUUGCCGAGUUGACUUCUUAGAGGGACUAGUGAUUUUAAUUCACACGAGAUUGAGCAAUAACAGGUCUGUGA